CUCUCUCUCGCAAUGUCUUGAUCAUCUUUACCUUUGUUAGACUGGUAUAUUUGUUGCAAUUAUCUAAACAAAGCAUAUUCUGUCUUGAAGUGCCAAUAACCUUGUCCCUUUUUGUUUUAUUUCUCAAAACAUGACUUCAUGCUGUUGUUUUGGACGUGUGUGCUCCUUGUCAGAUGGGCAUGGGUAUUCCAGUGUGCAGUUGAGCACUGACACUGUUUAGCAGUUCAGAGAGAUGCUGAAAUAAUGUUUUUGUCCCUCUCAUUGCACAGAGUUAUUCACAUGCAUUUCCCAGCAGCUAGGAGGCAUUUUUUUUAAUUGAUGAUAGUUAAUGAAGUUUUCUUUUCAAAUAGUUAUAGUUGUUUUCUAACACCAUAUGUAUCCUAAUAUGUUGCUUGAACAUAGCAACAACACAUUUGUGCUCAAACUAAUGAUAGGAUCUUUUCUUUUUCUUGGAAUUUCAUUUGCAUUUUCUAAUCUGCUGUAAUGCAAGCCAAACUCGGGCUUAAGAAAAUCUAAACGAGCCAAGCUCGAGUUUCAAAUUUGAGCUUGAGUUCAAUGAAAAUCAAAUGGUUAUGAUGCAUUAUUUUUUUAGCAUGUAAAUUAACUUUGGUAUUCUUGUUGGUUUGUAUCAAUUAACGGCAGCCUAUAGGUUGAACAUACCUACCUUUAAUAUACUUGUGUAAAAUUUUUAUGAAUUAGUUGUGCUUCUGUUCCCUCUAAUGAGCCUAAACCAAUGCCUUCUGGAAUGAUAUCUGAUAAUGUAUCUGUCAAUGGUAGGGCCAGCUUGCCAUAUGAAUUGUUGGAUUGAUUUUGGCAUUACUGGUUUGAUUUUGGAAUUAUUAUCAGUUUGGAGGAUUUAUGCUUGGACUUUGGUAUUUUAAACCUGCGAAAAUGCAGUACUGACUACUGUCAAUAUUGUUUAUUUUUCAUUUUUCCCCCAUCUAUUGUCUUCCUAAGUUCUUUUUUUCCCUUUUUUUUAUUAUUUUAAUCUCAAUGCAGUUAAUACCUUGUGCUGUGCUAUCUUUGAUUAUUCAUCCAACAACGCACCAUCAUAUAAUAAACAGGAUUUGCUGGGCUUUCUGUGUUUUUCUUGAAGCUGUUUCAGUAUUGCCUCAGCUUCGGGUCAUGCAGAACACAAAGGUAUGAUGAAUUUAGCGUACGCAUGCAUGUUGCCUUCUUUUCAUUGGAUGAUGGUGCAUCACUGCUUUUUCAGAGCAUAUGUUGUAAACAUUACAUUGAUGGUUUUGCAGAAUUUCUUUGCAACUGAUGUCCCUUUAAAUCUUCUUUUAUUUAUUUAUGUAGUUUUUAAUAUGUAGAUGGUCUGCUUCUGCUCAUCUUUCUUUUGUCUUAUUUCAGAUUGUUGAACCUUUCACAGCACAUUAUAUAUUUGCACUUGGAGUUGCAAGGUUCUUGAGUUGUGCGCAUUGGGUGCUUCAGGUUUGAUAAUGCAGCUUCCAACUCCUUAAGCUCUCUUGCAACAAAUAUGAUUUGAAUCUCUUACUAUGAAAUUCAAUGGCAUAUUGAACUGUUCACUAGUCAUCCCUAGUCUGCCAUCAACAAAUACCUAAAAAAACUUGGUUAGCGUUGGAAGCAUGUCCAACUUGCAGACAGAGCUACAUAUGUAAAUAAAAAAAUAUUUGGUCAACUUGUAUUAAUAUAUGAAAUAUAAACAACUUGGAUUGAUCAUUUUCUUACAUUUCAACUAUUUAUGAUUCUUGGAUACCUGUGGAUGUGUGUUCUUGUGGUAUGUCAACUGCUUACCUGUGAAACACAAAAGAUGUGUCUGCUUACACGUGUUGAUUAAGCUGCCUUGCUGUCAAUGGGUGUUUCUUUCUUCAUGCAGGUAUUGGAUACUCGAGGCCGCCUUCUGACAGCACUGGGCUAUGGAUUGUGGCCACCUAUGGUCCUCCUUUCAGAAAUUGUCCAGACAUUCAUUCUCGCUGAUUUCUGCUACUACUAUGUGAAGAGGUGGGUCAACAGGCAUUAAUUUUUCAAGAUGAUAUUAAUGUAUAUUGCUUUGAUCUCUCUGGACUUAAUAUUGGGUGUUUGCAGUCUCUUUGGUGGACAACUUGUUCUACGUCUCCCUUCAGGAGUGGUAUAAGGCAAUUGAAUGUGCAGAAGUGCAUCCGGAAAUGGCCGCAAAGAGGACACUCAGGAUAGUUUGUCCGCACGUUCUCCUUUACAGCCAAUUAGAAUUUAUUGUAGUAGGUGGACUGUAAAGUUGGGGGGUGCACUUGAAUUUUGGUGUUCUCAUAAUUUAAUAAUUUAAUAGAAAUAUUUCACCCUAAUCAGUAGUAACUAUUGUCUAGGCAUGUCCAUGGAUAAUAGAUUUAUCUAUUUUCUUUCUGCCCAUUUGCAUACUUCUUAUGUGACGUUAAGCCAAAAUAAGCCCUAUCCAAAGUCAAUUCCAAAUUGGGUAGACUGGCUAGUUCUAUCAAUCAAAACAAAUUCUUUGAGUUGCG
rnacentral:misc_RNA from 1 species